rnacentral:lncRNA from 1 species
GAGUUCUACUUCCGCUCCUUUAACCCCCUAUUCCGAAGAGUCCAAGAGCAGCAGCAAAGAAAAAGACCAACUCGAAAGUGGGGAAGGGAUGUUGGGGUUAAAGAGGGGAGUUAAAUAACCAGACCUUUAGUGAAGAAUAAAGAAUUCAGGCUGUAGUUUGUAGAAAUAAGUUAUUACAGGCCUGUAAAGUCUGGCGCUGGGUAAAGCCCAAGAGGCUUUCCCUAACUCCAAAACGGCGACCUUUAAAGUAAGGGAGGGUUGGGGCACCACAGCGGCCGGAUUUCUAAUUGUGGAAAGUUUAAACAAAUUUGUCCCUCGGGGAAUGGGGGAAGGGAGAGAAGAACAAGUCUGGGCUCGGCCGGGGAGCGUGCGGAGUCUGCACGCCGCGGCCGUCGGUCCAACGCGGGGAGGCUCAGGGAUUUUCGGCAGCAGCGACUUCAUCCACCCCGGACCGCCGGCUGGAGGACGUGCCUGCAGCCGGCGGGUACCUGCGGCCAAUUCGGUGGAACGAGGACGCGGACUGCGAAGGCAGGACAUUUUUAAAGAUUGGAAUGAUCUCGUUCUUGAAACCUAGGUACUCUAUGUUGAAGAUGCCUGGACUAACCUACUGAAGAUACGUGGUUUUACCAACAGCCAGCACCAAUAGGAAGAUAUGAAUGAAGCCAUCUGAGACCAGCCAUCUGGCAGCCAAACUGCCAACUGACUGCAAAUGCAUGAAUGAUCCCACUGACACCACGUAGAGCACAAAUGAGUUGCCUCCACUGAGCCCAGCCCAAAUUGUUAUCCUAUAAAAUCAUAAAAACAUAAACAGUUGUUUUAAGUCACUAAGUUUUGGAUAGUUUGUUAUACAACAAAAGCUAGCUGAAACAAAUGUAUUAGCUAGAGCAGCUGUGAAUGGCACUAUUUGCUUAGUUGAUUGGCUGAAAUUUGGACUCACUGGUAGGUUACAUUUAAUGGUGUUGAGUUGCCAGAAUUUCUCUGGAAUAAUGUAUAGGAAGGAUUCUAAUGGCCUAAGCCAUUAGAAUCUCUAAGGAGAUAGAAAUAAAGGAGUGAUUUAUUAUAUGUAACUGUGCCUCUUCCCUCACCACACUUGGUCCUGAAAGAGCCUAAGGAAUAGUUUCUUCUCUAAAGCAUUGAAAAAUGCUUUAAUGGGAGAAGCCCCAGCACCCUUGAACAUGUUCAGGCAGCUGCUUUCUAUAGGCCAAGGAUGUGGUGGGAAAAUCUGCCUGAUCUCAAUGUAGAUGAUGAGAUCCCAGAGUAGCGAUCAGCAUUUUUUACCAGCAGGAAUAAUCUUUGGUGGUGGUUGGCUCUAAGAAUUAAAUAGAUGUGGGCCGGGCGUGGUGGCUCAUGCUUGAAAUCCCAGCACUUUGGGAGGCUGAGGUGGGUGGAUCACCCAAGGUUGGGAGUUCAAGACCAGCCUGACCAACAUGGAGAAACCCCGCCUCUACUAAAAAUACAAAAUUAUUUUUGUAUGGUGGCACAUGCCUGUAAUCCUAGCUACUCAGGAGGCUGAGGCAGGAGAAUCGCUUGAACCCGGGAGGCGGAGGUUGCAGUGAGCUGAGAUUGUGCCAUUGCACUCCAGCCUGGGCAACAAGAGUGAAACUCCGUCACACACACACACAAAAAAAGAAUUAAAUAGAUAAUAGAUGUGUAGCCUGCCAAAGCAUUACUUGAUCUGUAUAAUAGAAACCAGACCUGAGGUAACACAUGCAUGGUGAUAUGUGCCUAUAGUCCCAGCUACUCAGGAAGCUGAGGUGGGAGAAUCACUUGAGCCUGGGAGGUCAAGGCUACAGUGAGCCAUGAUUGUACCACUGCACUCCAGCCUGGGAGACAGAGUGAGACCCUGUCUCA